rnacentral:rRNA from 1 species
CCUACGGGUGGCAGCAGUGAGGAAUAUUGGUCAAUGGCCGGAAGGCUGAACCAGCCAUGCCGCGUGAAGGUCAGUGCCCUAUGGGCGUUAAACUUCUUUUGUGCGGGAGCAAUAAUGGUCACGUGUGGCCAGACGAGAGUACCGUACGAAUAAGCAUCGGCUAACUCCGUUCCAGCAGCCGCGGUAAUACGGGGGAUGCAAGCGUUAUCCGGAUUUAUUGGGUUUAAAGGGUGCGUAGGCUGUGAGGUAAGUCAGCGGUGAAAUGCCCCCGCUCAACGGGGUGAAGUGCCAUUGAUACUGCCUGGCUGGAAUGCGGAUGCCGUGGGAGGAAUGUGUGGUGUAGCGGUGAAAUGCAUAGAUAUCACACAGAACACCGAUUGCGAAGGCAUCUCACGAAGCCGCGAUUGACGCUGAUGCACGAAAGCGUGGGUAUCAAACAGGAUUAGAUACCCGAGUAGUC